rnacentral:tRNA from 1 species
GUUAGGAUAGCUUCAGUGUUCAAAGCUUAGCGUUGAAAAUGCUAGACCGUAGGUUAAACUCCUACUCUUAACA